AAUUAUUAUUAGAUUUUUAAAUAAUUAUUCACGAAAUAAAUUGAGCUAAAUUUUUGGUAUUUUUGGAAAUUAUAACUAUAUGUUACAAAAUAUAUUAACUAAAUAGAUUUAGGGGUGAAAGGCCUAUCAAAUUUUAUGAUAUCUUGAAGUAUAUAAAAUAUAUCAAGUAUUUCUAAUUCAACUAUUGAAUGUUUAGGUUCAAUAGUAACAUUAUAUUUUUUAAAAAAUUGUUCAAUUUUUUUAAGUAAAAUUGAGUUAGAGCAUAAAAUAUACAUCAAAUUUUUAUUAUAUGAAUAUAAAUAUACUACGGUUAUUAAUAAAUAUAAUCAUAUAUAAUGUAAUUAUUAGUAAUAGUUUAUUAAACUAUAUAAAGGAAUUCGGCAAGAAAAUUUUUCACCUGUUUAUCAAAAACAUAGCUUAUUGAAUAUCAUAAUAAGUAACCCCUGCUCAAUGGAAAUCUAAAUAGCCGCAGUACCUUGACUGUGCAAAGGUAGCAUAAUCAAUUGGCUUAUAAUUGAAGUCUGGAAUGAAUGGGUAAUCUGGAAAAUAACUGUCUUUAUUUGUAGUAUUUUGAAUUUACUUAUAAAGUGAAAAUACUUUAAUAUAAAUAUAAGACGAGAAGACCCUAGAAAUUUUUUGUUAAUAACUUUUGUUGGGGCGACAGGGUAACAUAUAAACUUACUUACAUUUAUAUAAAUCUUAUAAGGUACGUAACUAAAUUACUCUAGGGAUAACAGCAUAAUAUAUAAAAGUUUAUGACCUCGAUGUUGGACUAGGUAAUUAAAUAUUUAAAAGAUAUCUUAAUUUGCUCUGUUCGAGCAGUAUUCACCUACAU
rnacentral:rRNA from 1 species